CGUGGGUAACCUGCCCAAGAGAUCGGGAUAACACCUGGAAACAGAUGCUAAUACCGGAUAACAACAGAUGAUGCCUAUCAACUGUUUAAAAGAUGGUUCUGCUAUCACUCUUGGAUGGACUCGGUGCAUUAGCUAGUUGGUAGGGUAAACGGGCCUACCAAGGCGAUGAUGCAUAGCCGAGUUGAGAGACUGAUCGGCCACAUUGGGACUGAGACACGGCCCAAACUCCUACGGGAGGCAGCAGGC
rnacentral:rRNA from 1 species